CAACAAUGGCGGACGUUGAUGCGGGACGCGAAGUCGAGGAAAAUUUCACUUUUAAAUGACAAUCCUGGAGAAAAUGGAUCUGCUGGAGAAGUACAGCAGUGGGUGAAAGAGAGGAGAGUGAAGAAAGAGAAGGAAGGAGUGAGCCACCGACUGGUAGAAGAAAAAUAAGAAGAAACAGUGAUGAGCUUCUAGACCCGAUCAGAGAGGACAUGAGGCAGAAGAGCAGAGCACACGAGAGAGGAGGGAAACUUUUGACUAACUUUAGCCUGCUGGAAAGAAUUGCCAUUAAAUUCAUUAGAUGUCUGAAAAACUGAAGUUUAUAUUUGAUAUAUUAAACAUUUUUGUUUUUGUUUUAUUAAUUUAAAUAAAGAUCUAAAUCAAACACAGUGAUUGUAAUGAAUUAAUUGUAACUUUUAUUUCCAACUAUUUACAAAGAUAGUCGACAAGGAUGGGGGGCUUCAACUGAGACCCGGGCUGAAACUUUCUGGGUGGUGAUUGAAACAUAUUGCAGGAUGGUCUGCAGAGAGUUUUAGGAUGUAACUUUAAUGUAGACUGCAUCGUCCAUCUUCAGGGUUUGCAGGGCUGGCUGUUGAUGGAUGCUGCAUGACCAAAAAUGAUCCAUAAAUAUGAGAUAAUGCAUGUACAGGCUUUGGAGAAAAAC